GACGAACGCUGGCGGCGUGCUUAACACAUGCAAGUCGAACGAUGAUCUCCCGCUUUCGGUGGUGAUUAGUUGCGAACGGGUGAGUAAUACGUGAGUAACCUGCCCUUGACUCUGGGAUAAGCCUCGGAAACCGGGUCUAAUACUGGCUACUACUUCUUUCCGCAUGGUUGGGGGUGGAAAGGGUUUUACUGGUUUUGUAUGGGCUCACGGGCUAUCCGCUUGUUGGUGGAGUAAUGGCUCACCAAGGCGACGACGGGUAGCCGGCCUGAGAGGGUGACCGGCGACACUGAGACUGAGACAAGGCACAGACACCUACGGGAGGCAGCAGUGGGGAAUAUUGAACAAGGGGCGGAAGCCUGAUGCAGCGACGCCGCGUGAGGGAUGACGGCCUUCGGGUUGUAAACCUCAUUCAGAAGGAAAGAAGCCACAAGUGACGGUACCUGCAGAAGAAGCGCCGGCUAACUACGUG
rnacentral:rRNA from 1 species